CGGUGGAGCAUGUGGUUUAAUUCGAAGCAACGCGAAGAACCUUACCAGGCCUUGACAUGCAGAGAACUUUCCAGAGAUGGAUUGGUGCCUUCGGGAACUCUGACACAGGUGCUGCAUGGCUGUCGUCAGCUCGUGUCGUGAGAUGUUGGGUUAAGUCCUGUAACGAGCGCAACCCUUGUCCUUAGUUACCAGCACGUUAUGGUGGGCACUCUAAGGGGACUGCCGGUGACAAACCGGAGGAAGGUGGGGAUGACGUCAAGUCAUCGUGGCCCUUACGGCCUGGGCUACACACGUGCUACAAUGGUCGGUACAAAGGGUUGCCAAGCCGCGAGGUGGAGCUAAUCCCAUAAAACCGAUCGUAGUCCGGAUCGCAGUCUGCAACUCGACUGCGUGAAGUCGGAAUCGCUAGUAAUCGUGAAUCAGAAUGUCACGGUGAAUACGUUCCCGGGCCUU
rnacentral:rRNA from 1 species